UACGGGGGGAGCAAGCGUUGUUCGGAUUUACUGGGCGUAAAGGGCGCGUAGGCGGCCAGCACAAGUCAGUUGUGAAAUCUCCGAGCUUAACUCGGAAAGGUCAACUGAUACUGUGCGGCUAGAGUGCGGAAGGGGCAACUGGAAUUCUUGGUGUAGCGGUGAAAUACGUAGAUAUCAAGAGGAACACCUGCGGCGAAGGCGGGUUGCUGGGCCGACACUGACGCUGAGGCGCGAAAGCCAGGGGAGCGAACGGG
rnacentral:rRNA from 1 species